rnacentral:rRNA from 1 species
GAUGAACGCUGGCGGCGUGCCUAAUACAUGCAAGUCGAGCGAACAGACGAGGAGCUUGCUCCUUUGACGUUAGCGGCGGACGGGUGAGUAACACGUAGGUAACCUACCUAUAAGACUGGGAUAACUUCGGGAAACCGGAGCUAAUACCGGAUAAUAUUUCGAACCGCAUGGUUCGAUAGUGAAAGAUGGCUUUGCUAUCACUUAUAGAUGGACCUGCGCCGUAUUAGCUAGUUGGUAAGGCAACGGCUUACCAAGGCAACGAUACGUAGCCGACCUGAGAGGGUGAUCGGCCACACUGGAACUGAGACACGGUCCAGACUCCUACGGGAGGCAGCAGUAGGGAAUCUUCCGCAGUGGGCGAAAGCCUGACGGAGCAACGCCGCGUGAGUGAUGAAGGUCUUCGGAUCGUAAAACUCUGUUAUUAGGGAAGAACAAACGUGUAAGUAACUGUGCACGUCUUGACGGUACCUAAUCAGAAAGCCACGGCUAACUACGUG